rnacentral:tmRNA from 1 species
UUUAUUGAAUCUUUUUUAUAAAGUUUUAUAUUAUUUAUGUUGGAUUUCCAACUAUGACGAUAAACGAAUUUCGUAAUAAACAUUGCGGACGUGGGGGCAGUACCCACCACCUCCACCAUUUACAACUUACGGGGGUGAACUAGAAUCGACGAGUGUCUAAAGGCUGUUCUUUCGUUCGAGAUUGUACCGACGUAACGGGCUAAAUUAUAAUUGCUAACGAAAGUUACGCUAUUGCUGCUUAAUUAACUUCGGUUAAUUAGAUAAGCACGGUCUGGGGCACCGGGUAACAGAACGCCCCCUAA